rnacentral:rRNA from 1 species
GACGAACGCUGGCGGCGUGCUUAACACAUGCAAGUCGAACGAAGUGGCGAACGGGUGAGUAACGCGUAAUCAACCUGCCCUUCAGAGGGGGACAACAGUUGGCAACGACUGCUAAUACCCCAUACUGAAGGAGGGGAUUGCGUCUGAUUAGCUAGUUGGAGUGGUAACGGCCCACCAAGGCGAGGAUAAGGAGCCGGACGGAGAGGAGGAACGGCCACAAUGGGACUGAGACACGGCCCAGACUCCUACGGGAGGCAGCAGUGGGGAAUCGUCCGAAAUGGACGAAAGUCUGACGGAGCAACGCCGCGUGAGUGAGGACGGCCUUCGGGUUGUAAAGCUCUGUUAAUCGGGACGCGGUACCGGAAUAGAAAGCCACGGCUAACUACGUGCCAGCAGCCGCGGUAAUUC